rnacentral:tRNA from 1 species
GUAGAUAUAAUUUAACAAAAAUAUUAGAUUGUGAUUCUAAACAUGAGGGUUCAAACCCCCCUAUCCGCC